rnacentral:rRNA from 2 species
GCGACCCCAGGUCAGGCGGGGCUACCCGCUGAGUUUAAGCAUAUCAAUAAGCGGAGGAAA